rnacentral:rRNA from 1 species
AUCGAACGCUGGCGGCAGGCCUAAUACAUGCAAGUAGAGCGGAGAGGCGGACGGGUGUGUAAUGCCUAGGAAUCUGCCUGGGUGUGGUGGAUAACGGCCGGAAACGGGCGCUAAUACCGCAUACUAUCGGAUGAGCCUCGGUGGGUUUAGCUAGUGGUUGGGGUAAAGGCCUACCAAGGCGACGAUCCGUAACUGGUCUGAGAGGUGGAUCAGUCACACUGGAACGUAGACACGGCCCGGACUCCUACGGAGGGAAGCAUUGGGGAUUGUUGGAAAAGGGGCGAAACCCGGAUGCACCCAUGCGGCGGGGGUGAAGAAGUUCUUCGGAUUGUAAGGCAUGUUAAGUUGGGAGACGUUACCAACAGAAUAAGCACCGGCUAACUACGUGCCAGCAGCCGCGGUAAUUC